rnacentral:lncRNA from 1 species
UAGUCUCUCCUCAAUAACGAUCAUCGUGGCCUCGGGAUCCACCACUAGGCCGGUCAUAGGGUCCUGAACGAUCUCUAGUACUACCCUCGUAACGUGAAGCACCUCCACCACCACCACCACCUGCAUAUCGGUCACCACCUGCAUAACGGUCACUGCCCCGGUUGCUGUCCCUGUCACGACCGUAUUCUGAACGACUCUCCCUGUUAUAAGGUCCCCCAUUCUUACGGUCAGGUCCCCCGGAGCGGUCACCGUAACGAUCACUUCCACGACCACCGCCAUAACGGCCACCACCUCCACCGCUACCAUAACGAUCACCUCCAC